rnacentral:rRNA from 1 species
CACGUGGGCAACCUGCCCUAAAGUGGGGGACAACACGCCGAAAGGUGUGCUAAUACCGCAUGUGGAUCAGAAUGGCAUCAUUCAAGAUCCAAAGGAUUUAUUCGCUUUAGGAUGGGCCCGCGGCCUAUCAGCUAGUUGGUGAGGUAACGGCUCACCAAGGCUUCGACGGGUAGCUGGUCUGAGAGGACGAUCAGCCGGAUUGGGACUGAGACACGGUCCAG